GAUGAACGCUGGCGGCGUGCCUAAUACAUGCAAGUCGAGCGAAUGGAUUAAGAGCUUGCUCUUAUGAAGUUAGCGGCGGACGGGUGAGUAACACGUGGGUAACCUGACCAUAAGACUGGGAUAACUCAGGGAAACCGGGGCUAAUACCGGAUAACAUUUUGAACAGCAUGGUUCGAAAUUGAAAGGCGGCUUGGGAUGUCACUUAUGGAUGGACCCGCGUCGCAUUAGCUAGUUGGUGAGGUAACGGACCACCAAGGCAACGAUGCGUAGCCGACCUGAGAGGGGGAUCGGCCACACUGGGACUGAGCCACGGCCCAGACUCCUACGGGAGGCAGCAGUAGGGAAUCUUCCGCAAUGGACGAAAGUCUGACGGAGCAACGCCGCGUGAGUGAUGAAGGCUUUCGGGUCGUAAAACUCUGUUGUUAGGGAAGAACAAGUGCUAGUUGAAUAAGCUGGCACCUUGACGGUACCUAACCAGAAAGCCACGACUAACUACGUGCCAGCAGCCGCGGUAA
rnacentral:rRNA from 1 species